CUUGGAACAAAAUGCUACUCACACAGAAGCUCAUCAAAAGAACAGGCUUUAAACACAUUAUAUCGCUUUAACAUACAGAAGACUUUUCCAAUCAUGUGCAGUGGUCAAUGGGGUACCAUAAAUGAGUUAUAGGGGGUGCUGAGUGCCAGAUCGGUCCUGAGGUAGCUAGAGCAGUCCUGAGGUUUUUUUUUGUUUUGUUUUUUUAAUCUCUAGUUAGGAACAGCCUGUUCUUUGAUCCCAAGGAGCUACAAAAUGUUAUUUCCUUCACGUUAUGAUGUGAAAAAGAUUGGGAAGCACUAGGUGGAUGCAAAUCCUGAUCCACAUAAUUAAAGGCAACAUUGACAUGUUAAAGGCAACAUUGACAUGGGGUUCCUGAGGCUGCUCCAGCCAUGAAGAAUGUGGGCAUCUUGGAGUCCCCUUUAACAGGUUGACUCUGCUGCACAGCCUGGGAUCAGAAAGUCUGAGGUCACCCCAGCCCUGCUGCUUAAGCCAGACUCAACAAGCGCCUGAUGGACUAUGGAGAUACUGCAAUGCAGUGCUAAAGGCCCAGCCCCAUGCCUGGCUCCCUGACCAUGCCCACUGUGGGAAGUACCUUGCCCUCUCCUUGCCUGGGAUGGGGAAGGAUGGUGGAUCCCAUCAAGGUCCCACAAAGCCUGUGGCCCAAUGUUGAUAUUCGUUCCUCUGGAAGUGCAGUUCUAAUUAAUAUUAAUACUUUCAGAUACCCUAAAGAGUUGUUCUCAAAGUUGGUCCCUGGUCCAGAUGCAUCAGGACCACCUGGGGACUUAUUAGAAAUGCACAUACUUCAGCCCCACCCAGACAGACUGAUCAGAAAGCUCUGAGGAUAGGACCCAGAAAUCUAUAUUUUAACAAGACAUCCAGAUGACUGAUUGACACAGGAGUUUGAGAACCACUGCCCUGAAGAAACUACUUUACAUUGUUGACAACAGAGGCAGCUUCUGGGAGCAAAUUCAUAUCUCAGAAAUUGCUAUUUCCUGUGCUUAGCUUGAGAAUUUUCUUUAGUCCUAAAAUCAAGACAGCCAUGGGAAAAGACUCCAGAUGUGCACAUGGGUCCAGAUGAACUCCUAUAGGGACAGGGCCAGAUGCUGCUGUAAUCCAACCUACCAAAAGUACAGGCAUGGAAAUUGGGCCUUAAAGACAGAAAGCAACCUGCCCAAGAGUACACAGCAGACCAUGACAGGCUGAAAAUCAUGAUCUAAGCAAAUGCGUUAUCAAAAUGUGGUCAACUCCUGGUGUAUUAGUCCAUUUUCACUGCUAUAAAGAACUGCCCAAGACUGGAUAAUUUAUAAAGGAAAGAGGUUUAAUUGACUCACAGUUCAGCAUGGUUUGGGAAG